AGUCGGGCGGUGAGCAUAGAGCGAACUAUUCUUUCGCCUUUUACUAAAGAAUACCGUGUGCACGUUGCAUUCACCGACAUACGCCUAUUUUUGGAGGGGUUUCACUUAAAGCGAG